AGAGUUUGAUCCUGGCUCAGGACGAACGCUGGCGGCGUGCUUAACACAUGCAAGUCGAGCGAUGAAGCACCUUCGGGUGUGAAUUAGCGGCGAACGGGUGAGGAACACGUGAAGAAUCUGCCUUCAACUCUGGGAUAACUCCGGGAAACCGGGGCUAAUACCGGAUAUGAGCCUUGAUCGCAUGAUCGGGGCUGGAAAGUUUUUCGGUUGAAGAUGACUUCGCGGCCUAUCAGCUUGUUGGUGAGGUAAUGGCUCACCAAGGCGACGACGGGUAGCCGGCCUGAGAGGGCGACCGGCCACACUGGGACUGAGACACGGCCCAGACUCCUACGGGAGGCAGCAGUGGGGAAUAUUGGGCAAUGGAGGAAACUCUGACCCAGCGACGCCGCGUGAGGGAUGAAGGCCUUCGGGUUGUAAACCUCUUUCAGUAGGGAAGAAGCGAAAGUGACGGUACCUACAGAAGAAGCACCGGCUAACUAUGUGCCAGCAGCCGCGGUAAUACAUAGGGUGCAAGCGUUGUCCGGAAUUAUUGGGCGUAAAGAGCUCGUAGGUGGUUCGAUACGUCGGAUGUGAAAAUCAGGGGCUCAACCCCUGACCUGCAUCCGAUACGGUCGAGCUAGAGUUUGGUAGGGGAGACUGGAAUUCCUGGUGUAGCGGUGGAAUGCGCAGAUAUCAGGAGGAACACCGAUGGCGAAGGCAGGUCUCUGGGCCAAUACUGACACUGAGGAGCGAAAGCGUGGGGAGCGAACAGGAUUAGAUACCCUGGUAGUCCACGCCGUAAACGGUGGGCGCUAGUUGUGCGAACCUUCCACGGUUUGUGCGACGCAGCUAACGCAUUAAGCGCCCCGCCUGGGGAGUACGAUCGCAAGAUUAAAACUCAAAGGAAUUGACGGGGCCCCGCACAAGCAGCGGAGCAUGCGGCUUAAUUCGACGCAACGCGAAGAACCUUACCAAGGCUUGACAUAUACAGGAAUAUGGCAGAGAUGUCAUAGCCGCAAGGUCUGUAUACAGGUGGUGCAUGGUUGUCGUCAGCUCGUGUCGUGAGAUGUUGGGUUAAGUCCCGCAACGAGCGCAACCCUCGUUCUGUGUUGCCAGCAUUUAGUUGGGGACUCACAGGAGACUGCCGGGGUUAACUCGGAGGAAGGUGGGGAUGACGUCAAAUCAUCAUGCCCCUUAUGUCUUGGG
rnacentral:rRNA from 1 species